AAUCUUCAACCUAUAAACCUUUGCGGCUUUGUAGGCUUGGACUUGGAGGCUUGUCGGCCUAACGGUCGGCUCCUCUUAAAUGCAUUAGCUUGAUUCCUUGCGGAUCGGCUCUCGGUGUGAUAAUUGUCUACGCCGCGACCGUGAAGCGUUUGGCGAGCUUCUAAUCGUCUCUUAUGAGACAACACAUUGAC
rnacentral:misc_RNA from 1 species